rnacentral:rRNA from 1 species
UACAGAGGUCCCAAGCGUUGUUCGGAUUCACUGGGCGUAAAGGGUGCGUAGAUGGCCGGGUAAGUCUGACGUGAAAUCUCCAAGCUCAACUUGGAAACUGCGUCGGAUACUAUCCGGCUAGAGGAUCGGAGGGGAGACUGGAAUACUUGGUGUAGCAGUGAAAUGCGUAGAUAUCAAGUGGAACACCAGUGGCGAAGGCGAGUCUCUGGACGAUUCCUGACACUGAGGCACGAAAGCCAGGGGAGCAAACGGG